rnacentral:lncRNA from 1 species
GGUGGGAUUUCUGUGGUAUCCGCACUUGCGUGGUGAUCUGGGGUAUACCGUUUUAGUCUUGGGGGUAGAGUGACUGCUUGCGAACCAGUUCAGCAGUGCCUCAGUUUGAACACACAGCUGUGCAAGGGCCUUCAUUUUUGAAUGAGGAUUAUUUUCACCUUCAUGAAACUUUGAGAUUAUUGGAUCAAUGGUCAUUCGGUUUUGGUGAAAGAGAAAGUCACUAGGAGAAAAAAAAAAUCCUAAGUGGAACAAGAGA